UUUCUUCUUCUUUAUCAGUAUCAUUUUUCCUUCUUUCUUUUUCUUUAUAUAUUUUUCUUGUUGCUUUCUGCUUGCAAAAUGACACAAUUAACUUAAAAGUGAUUAUUACCUCUCCAAUUAGGUAUUUGAGACUUCCCCAUGGUAUCAUGGCAUCUCCUUGAGUGUGAGCUUUGGUCAGGUAGGUGUCCAAAAUUUCCAUACACACCUGAGAGGAAAUAAAACAACAGAAUGGAAAAACAAUAAAAUGUUUCUUAAACUAACCUUAAACUACCUGAGCAUUUCAGGGACCUUUGGGUUAAAGGAGACUUACCAGGAAGUCAGACUCGUUGAAAUCAUAAGGCACAUUCCAGCCGAUCUUGCCGUACUUGCGUCUUUCCUGAACCACAGCAUGGAAGAAGGCCAGCACAUAAACCAGACUGCGAAAGGCUGGUGUGACGUAAUCACUGACAGCGCGAUAGACUCGGUCUAGCCUGAAGCAGCGCAUCAGCAGAAGCUUCUGGAACGGAGUGAGGUUGUCCUUGUACUUCAUGGGGAAAGAAGCCUGCUCUGGAGCAUCCAAAUCGUACCACUGCAGCAGAAACAGAAAGACAUAAAUGGUUGGACUCUGUAUCUCAUCGUGGGUUCAUCAGGUGUGUUUGAUGAUUUCCGCCACUCACAUUCUUCCAUUCCUCAGGAUUCUUUUCUAUAUCGUCUGCUAAAGUACCAAACUCAUUAGGAAAGAGUUCCAUAAGGCGCACUAUAUCCUCCCAGCCUUGAUCAGGCAGCCAGUCGCACAGUUUCUUACGUUUGCUUUUUUCCAAAGAGAGAUUACCUGGAGAGAGAAGGAAGAUAUGGUUUAUCUUUUUUUAUUUUUUUGGUUUUAUAUUGUAAAAGAGGGAGAGAAGUCUUCCUGAAGCUUCUACCUUUAAGGAAGAACUCUAGCUCAUCCUGGGGUGCUCGGCCCUCACCCUGCUCAAUCUUAAUGGUCAUGUUGAAGGAGAAAAGAAGUUUGUGUCUUUCAAACAGACCUAAACAAAAAUGCAAAAAUAAAUUUGGUUUUUAAUUCACUGAAGAAAAAAAAAGUGAUUCCAUUUCAACUUUUUCCUGUCAUCACUAGCUGCUAAUAUUCAUGGACUAUAAAAAAUCUUAAUCACAUGGUAUGCUCUUUAGCAGUUAAUUAAAGAAUAUAACAAAAAGUUUCUUAAAAUUCUAAUUUGUGACCAGAAUCCAUUAGACUUUAAGAUUUUAACAGGCUCACCAGUACAGCCAUAGUUAUAGACAUUCUGUGUAAGUGUCUCCAUGAUGUUCUUCAGUCUAGUGGGCAGGACUGCGUUGGGCAUAGACUUGGACAGUGAGAGGUCAAACACCUCUAAAAAGGAAGCAAGUGAAUACUGGUACAUGGUGUUGACCAGAGCCAUCUCAGCCAGCACAAAGAACAAGACAGCUCCCCGCUUGGCAGCCGGACGGUAGCCGUCUCUCAGUGUCUCAAUAUCAUUGGCUGUCUUUUCUGCCAGCUUCAGUUUUUCAAACACCUUUUGGAAUCAAAUAAUGAUUGUUAAAUUGUAAACAGCACAUAUUAUCCUGUUUAACUGAGUUAAUCCAUAUGUACACUACCAUUCAGAAGACAGUACAAUAAAUAAAAAAAAUUAUAAUAUUUUCAUUAAGCAAGGAUGCAUCAGUGGGUUCAAAAACAAAUCUGAUUUUAAAUAAAUGCUGUUCUUUUGAAAAGCCUAUUUAUCAAAUAAUCCUGAAAUAAAAUAUAUGUAAGUAAAGGUAUGCAAGUAAAAAACAGUAAGCAGU
ensembl:lncRNA